rnacentral:rRNA from 1 species
GACGAACGCUGGCGGCGUGCUUAACACAUGCAAGUCGAACGGAAAGGCCUGUCCUUCCUUGUGUUGGACGGGUACUCGAGUGGCGAACGGGUGAGUAACACGUGAGUGAUCUGCCCCCAACUUGGGUAUAAGCCUGGGAAACUGGGUCUAAUUCCCGAUAGGACUGCAGGGUGGUGCCUGUGGUGGAAAACGAUUUUCUAGUGGUUGGGGAUGAGCUCGCGGCCUAUCAGCUUGUUGGUGGGGUAAUGGCCUACCAAGGCGGCGACGGGUAGCCGGCCUGAGAGGGUGGACGGCCACAUUGGGACUGAGAUACGGCCCAGACUCCUACGGGAGGCAGCAGUGGGGAAUAUUGCACAAUGGGCGGAAGCCUGAUGCAGCGACGCCGCGUGGGGGAUGACGGCCUUCGGGUGGUAAACUCCUUUCGACCGCGAGGAAGCCGCCUGGUUGGAAGGGUGGUGACGGUAGUGGUAGAAGAAGCACCGGCUAACUACGUG